GUGCUUAACACAUGCAAGUCGAACGGGUGUAGCAAUACAUCCGUGGCGAACGGGUGCGUAACACGUGGAUAACCUUCCUACAGGUGGGGAAUAACCCAGUGAAAAUUGGGCUAAUACCGCAUAACAAUGCGACGGCACAUGCUGUUGCAUUCAAAGCCGCAAGGCGCCAGUAGAGGGAUCCGCGCCGAUUAGCUUGUUGGCGGGGUAACGGCCCACCAAGGCAAUGAUCGGUAGCCGGACUGAGAGGUUGGCCGGCCACACUGGAACUGAGACACCGUCCAG
rnacentral:rRNA from 1 species